UCACGCGAAGUGCUGUGGUGCUCGAGGUGGUGCCGUGGUGCUAUUAAUAAUAAGCUUCCUGAUCCCGUGGUUCAAAACCAGUGAAAAAGAAAAUUGCAUCGUCGUCGUUGCUGUUUUAUGGUCGUGGUCAUUGUUUUCGUAAUUUCGUAACAAUUCAUCAGUAGUUAGUGAAAUGGGAAGAUAAAAGUUUGGGUACAGGAGAACCAGGGAGUCUGAAAACUAACAAAGUUGAGUUUUCUCCUGGUUCUCCUGCGUUACAUACUGCUGCCGCGCAACAUGUGUAUAAAGGAAAUAGAAAGGAUUCGCUUCCAACCACAGUGGAAUACGCUUAGAUUUGCUGAUUCAUCGAUAUCGAGAAGUAAUUUUUGCGAAGGUGAAUUCGUACUGCGUACUCCGCGAUCGUCUGAUUCAAUGGUAUGCUGUGUGAAUUCCGAAGAGCAAGGUUUUAUAUAACUUACAAUCUGCGAGAUGGGUGCAUUCCUGGAAUCCUGGAGAAACCGAUGACGGCCAAACACAAGAAGUAUAGCGAAGGCAAAAAACUUGGUUUCAGUGUAGUAUCGCUGGGGUGGCGCUGUGAAAUAUUGAGGCACACUACACCAAAACCUGAUUUGAUUGUAUUCGAAUUAUUUUGACAGACAGACUUGCCGGCAAAGACAAAGUGGACGAUCAUUGUGCAAAUAAUCUGCUUCAGUCGAUCGUUCGAAUACAGGAAUUAAGAUAUAACAAUACGGAAGUAUUCCCGGGUAUUCACUCUGGAUUCCUCAAAUUAGAUGAAUCCAUGCGAGGCAUACCGAGGCUGGCAUAGGGUGUGGAUGAAUCUUGCACCACGGCAGUAUGUGCGUUCAUUUCCAUCCAAAACGUCUAUAUGUACAUAUAUAUACAGGAAAUUGUGAAGCUUCUCAGGUGAAAAGAAGCGAAUCCAGAAUGCUGGAUGAUCCGUCAUGAUCCAAA